rnacentral:rRNA from 1 species
UACGAAGGGGGCUAGCGUUGCUCGGAAUCACUGGGCGUAAAGCGCACGUAGGCGGAUUGCUAAGUCAGGGGUGAAAUCCUGGAGCUCAACUCCAGAACUGCCCUUGAUACUGGCGGUCUCGAGUCCGGGAGAGGUGAGUGGAACUGCGAGUGUAGAGGUGAAAUUCGUAGAUAUUCGCAAGAACACCGGUGGCGAAGGCGGCCAUCUGGACCGGUACUGACGCUGAGGCGCGAAAGCUAGGGGAGCGAAUGGG